rnacentral:rRNA from 1 species
GACAGAGGGUGCAAACGUUGUUCGGAAUUACUGGGCGUAAAGCGAGUGUAGGCGGUUUGGUAAGUCGGAUGUGAAAGCCCCGGGCUCAACCCGGGAAGUGCACUCGAUACUGCCAAGCUAGAGUAUCGGAGAGGUUGGUGGAAUUCUCGGUGUAGAGGUGAAAUUCGUAGAUAUCGAGAGGAACACCGGUGGCGAAGGCGGCCAACUGGACGAAUACAUGACGCUGAGACUCGAAAGCGUGGGGAGCAAACAGG